GAUGAACGCUGGCGGCGUGCCUAAUACAUGCAAGUCGAGCGAACAGGCGAGGAGCUUGCUCCUCUGACGUUAGCGGCGGACGGGUGAGUAACACGUGGAUAACCUACCUAUAAGACUGGGAUAACUUCGGGAAACCGGAGCUAAUACCGGAUAAUAUAUUGAACCGCAUGGUUCAAUAGUGAAAGACGGUUUUGCUGUCACUUAUAGAUGGAUCCGCGCCGCAUUAGCUAGUUGGUAAGGUAAUGGCUUACCAAGGCGACGAUGCGUAGCCGACCUGAGAGGGUGAUCGGCCACACUGGAACUGAGACACGGUCCAGACUCCUACGGGAGGCAGCAGUAGGGAAUCUUCCGCAAUGGGCGAAAGCCUGACGGAGCAACGCCGCGUGAGUGAUGAAGGUCUUCGGAUCGUAAAACUCUGUUAUUAGGGAAGAACAAAUGUGUAAGUAACUAUGCACGUCUUGACGGUACCUAAUCAGAAAGCCACGGCUAACUACGUG
rnacentral:rRNA from 1 species